CGAAGAGCAAAAACUAAAGUGAAGAGCAAAAACUCACAAAACUCUCUCUAUAAAUCGGUCCUCUCUCUAGAAAUCAGUACUCUUCUGCUAAAAUCUCACCCAAAUCGAAAUCCCUUAAAUCAAAAUGUGAAUCUCAUUUUUCAGGUAUGUUAAAAUCCCUAGUCUUUUCGUUUUUCUUUUGGGGAAAGAAGUUGCUUUGUUGUAAUUGAUUUCGUGGAGGUACAAUGGAACGAACGAUUUCUCUUCCAUAAUCUAACUGAAAACCUUCUUAUUUGGUUACUAUCAUAUAUCUAACUGAAAACCCAUAUUGAUUUAUGUAAGAUAUAUUUACGUUUGGGGUUUUUUAUAAUGAUUUUGUAAGACAAAAUUUUCAACAUGUAGUUAGGGAUAAUUAUUGUUCAGCGAUUUUACAUUUUUAUUCUCAGAUUUCAUCUCGAAUUUCUCUAAGCCAUUUGAUAAUCUACAUGAAUACAAAAAAAUCACACAGAAAGAAUCAUUUGAAGCCUAUUUGGUGUUGUUUUUGUCGAUUCUCGGACUUGACAGAAUCUCAACUAUUUCUUUUUUGGGGUAAGUUAAAAAGCUUCUUCUUGAGAAACCUUUUACAUGUCGACAUUCCAUUCUUAUUGUUCUUAUACGGUUAUGUGCCUAAAUCAGUAGACAUGUAAUUUUUUAUUUUAUAAGGCACAUAUAUGUUAUUGUAUAGUUAUUGUUCUUGUUCUGAAGGUUUCAAGAAUUCACUAUAGGCAUUGAUUCUACACUUCCUAUAAACAAAAUCGACAACAUUGGCUCUUCUUCCACUACUACUUGUCAUGAUUGCAAUUUUCUUGGAAGAUUUGAGUGUGAUUUUUUUCCUUCAGUUUAUUUGAAUUUUUUAAUUUACAAAAUUCGUAUGAGUAAUUAUGUAAUAGAUUGCUUCCUUCUUGUUUGAAUAAUGUGUUUUUGUGACUCUUUGUCUGAAUACCCCAAGUUAAAUUGUCUUUUAGAAUUUCCCAGGUGACUGCUUGUCUCCUACAGAAAAGGAGCAUAAGAUAUUUAAGGCUGUGAUUAAUACAACAACAACAACCCAGUAUAAUCCCACUUAGUGUGGUCUGGGGAGAGACUGUUUCCCAAUAGACUACCGGCAUCCUUCCCUCCAAGAACUUCCCACCUUGCUCUUGGGAAGACUCGAACUUACAACCUCUCGGCUGGAAGUGGGGGUUGCUUACCAUCAGAGCAACCCCUCUUGUCUAAGGCUGUGAUUAAUACUUAAACAAAUUAUUGCGAGACAAAAUAGAAAAUUCUUAAAGCAAAUUCAGUGUGCAGCCUUGACGGGAUGUCUUGGUAUCUCAGAUUGUCGAUCGAAUAUUGAAUUUUUGAGUAGUUUGUCGGGUUUAGAGGAGGAUGGUGUUGGUAUUAGCAUUGGGCGAUCUUCACAUCCCGCAUAGGGCUACUGGUCUUCCCGCUAGGUUUAAAUCUAUGCGUGUUCCUGAAAGAUUCAUCAUAUCAUAUGUAAUGGUAGCCUUUGCAUUAAAGUGAGCCUUUCUUAAUAUUAUUAUAGUGUUCCUGGAAAGUUCCAACAUAUCACUAGGUAAUAAAUGGACUUAAUUAACAGAAAAUUUAGAAGUUGUUGAAAGGGAGUGAUGCGUCUUGGGCAGAGUAGAUGCUUCUCUAAUAUCUCUACAUGUUUGUUCCAAGUUUAGAACCUCCUUGAAUCUGCGAAAAGAUGAGUUUUCUCAAAAGCUAAACCAUAAAAAUGAAUAGAUAACUUCUAUUCUAUGCCAUAGUCCAGAGAGUAAUUUCAUAUGGUAUGUGAUAAAAUCAUAUUUCACAUUAUUAAAUCACUAAAAUGGAUAUCCUUCAUGGAUUCUGCAUAUUAGUUAUCACUUAGAAAGGUUAUUCUAUGUUGUUAAAUGCUAUGUUAAGGUGUUAUUACACAGCUCGUCGACUCCUGUUUACGCCUCAAUCGCGUGUUGAUCUUUUGACGAAAGAGAACGAAGACAUGAGAAGAAUCGUCUGAGAGGGUUAGGCAACAACAUUUUUUUCAAUAUAUUUUAGUUUGUAGCUGUCAGCUGAGACCCUUAUAUCACAAUUCUGUAAUCUUAUACUAUCUUCAGGAAGAGGAACAUGGUAAAGAGAUAGUUGAGCUUUUUAUGGAACUUAUGUAACAUAUCUGUAGUCUUUGCUGUAACCUUGACCAAAUGUGCCAUUUAGCAAUCUGCAGAAUUUUUUUAUCUGUUGCAUUGGUUUUUAUUGAAGUUAAUCAGGGCUCAAUUUUUGGCUCAAAAUCUUGCUUGAACUCUCAAUACUCUUUAGCAAAAACAAAUAUAGUAUUAGAACGAUAAUGAAGUGGUAAUCGGAAAUUUGUAGUUCAAAAGGCAUAAAUAUGAAAAGAGAACCUGUGGCAUCAUGAGAGUUUUUGGAUAAAAUGUAGACUUGAUAUUUGAUUCAAAUAUCACAAUGAUAUAAAGGGGGAUGAAGAAGAAAAUAUACCUUUGUCGCUUGCUGUUGAAAUCAAUUUAGUAGUAGAACAGUUAUGGUCUAUAGGUGUUACUUCCACCAACACAGCCUUUAUAUGUGCAACAUUUUUUUAUGUGUUUUCCAUGGUUGUCUAAAUUUGAAAUAGGUCCAGGGUUUCACUUGAACAUUUAUGUGUUAAUUUAAGGCAUAUCUCUGGAUUGUUCUUGUUAAUACUGCAUCAAACAAAAAUGAACAGACUCAUCUCC
rnacentral:lncRNA from 1 species